AAUACAGAGACUAAAUAGUAAUUUUCCUUGAAAAAUAUAUUUAACAUUGAAGGGGGGAUAAUUAUUAUCCCUUCAAUUUUGAUUGGAAAGCAAAGUGGGAUUUGAAGGAAUAACUAAUCAUUUCUUGUCCUACCCUUUAUGGCCUUAUUAAACUCCCAAACAAUGAAUCUCUCUUAUCCAUUUGCCUUUCCAUUUCUAAUCCGUUUCGAUCCUGUUAUGAUAAGGAAAAUAAGGUGUGUUGAAAAUAAGUAGAAGGUCUUUGGGAUUGAAAUUGUAAUAAAAGAAUAGUAUGGAAGUCAGUAGAGUCGGCUGAGAAUUAGUUAGAACUGUUACUACUUAACUGAAAUCAGUGUAGAAGCCGUAUAAAUACAACUAUCUGAGAGUGCUGGAUCUUUAAUCAAUCUCAAGAAUCUAAUAG
rnacentral:misc_RNA from 1 species